ACCCUAAUAAAUAUCUAUAUAAUUACAAAUUAAGAACUUUAGGUGUUGCAACAAAUAAUAGGAAUGGUUGCAGCCUAAGACGCUGCAUCCAACAAAACACAAAUGGAUCGUGAACGCGACACGGAAUCACUAAAAAUCCAAGCAUGCACAUUGUAAAAACUCAUUAAAUAUUGAUUAAAAUUUCCAGCAAGCAUCCAGAAUGUAAGGACUCAAUACCUCAUGGAGCCUCAAAGCUUAAAAUUUUCAAAAAGAGGACCCAAAAUCUGAAAUGCAUAUUUGAAGAUACCCAAAGGCAAACGGGCCACUAGAUGUUGAUCACAAGAGUACGAAGAAAUAACAAAGGCCUCAAAACCCCAAGAUUCAAACGCUCAAAUAAUCUACAACUUAACGAUACAGUGAAUAGUAGACUCAGUGAACUGUAGAGACCGGAGCUCUAUGACUAGAAACUCAAAGGUCUUCAGCAGUCACUCCAACAAACAUCAAAGCCUGAGAUUAAACUCUCAUGUUCCCAGAUACUCAAAGACCUCCCGCAAUGAAACUUUUAGAAGUCAUAAUACCUUCUCUUUUCUCUGCAAAAUUCUUCCCACGUGGAUUUGAAUACGACACGCUGCCGCUUAAUCUGAUCAGGCGAGAAAUUAACCAUUUCUUACGUCACAAAGGAGUAAAUAUUGAACAUUGCUUCUGUAAAAUAGUCGUUUCAAGAAAAUAUGAUCAUAAAGUAAUCGUUUUUUAUGACAUAGCAGCACUUAUCUUAGUGCAAAAUGUAGUGAUAACGGCACGAUAUAUCUCCUCAGUAACGUCUUCACCUAGCACAUUGUUCAGCUGAAAGAAUGAAGGUCUACUUGGUACUCUUCGCAGCUGUUGUUGCCCUUUGCAUUGUGGCUGGCCAAGAUGAGGAUGAAUUUGUGUGCGAAGAUGGGGUUCCAUAUAUCGAAAAUGAUUGCAAUGAAUGUAUUUGUGGUAACGGUACCAUAGGGUGCACUAAAAUGCAUUGUUCAUGGUCUGACGACUAUAGGAAUUGUACGGUGGGAACGGAAACGACCUCCGAUUGCAAUACCUGUCACUGCGUCGUCGACUGGGGGCUAAUUUGUACAAAUCACGAUUGCAACGCAACGACGACUCCCUAGACGACUCCAAUCCACUAUGGAACGGAACCGUAAGAAACUCGAAUUUUAAUGUGUAAAUUUAUGUAACCUAUGGUGACGGCAAUAAAAAUGGUUGUAAUUUUUUGGCAA